rnacentral:rRNA from 1 species
GGUAUGAUGCGUUGGUCCUGGACUCCGGUUCGUGUGGCUUUUCGCGUCUACCAUCCUUCCCCUUAGAUUUGCAGGCCUGUAAAAGGGUCGGCUGCUAUUGGGAUCUUUUACUUUGAAAAAAUUAGAGUGUUUAAAGCAGGCCUGUGCCUUGAAUACAUUAGCAUGGAAUAAUAAUAUAGGACUGGAUUCCUAUUUUGUUGGUUUUCUGGAGUUUAGUA